rnacentral:tRNA from 1 species
GCCCGCCUAGCUCAAUCGGCCAGAGCGUCAGACUUUUAAGGCAUGUCAUCUGAAGGCUGCGAGUUCGACCCUCGCGGUGGGCU